GGACGAACGCUGGCGGCGUGCUUAACACAUGCAAGUCGAGCGGUAAGGCCCUUUCGGGGUACACGAGCGGCGAACGGGUGAGUAACACGUGGGUGACCUGCCCUCAGCUCUGGGAUAAGCCUGGGAAACUGGGUCUAAUACUGGAUAUGACUCCACGGUGCAUGUCGUGGGGUGGAAAGCCUUGUGCGGCUGAGGAUGGGCCCGCGGCCUAUCAGCUUGUUGGUGGGGUGAGGCCUACCAAGGCGACGACGGUAGCCGGCCUGAGAGGGCGACCGGCCACACUGGGACUGAGACACGGCCCAGACUCCUACGGGAGGCAGCAGUGGGGAAUCUUGCGCAAC
rnacentral:rRNA from 1 species